rnacentral:lncRNA from 1 species
AUAGUAGUUAAAUGGAGAUGAUUAUGCAUCCUGGAGCAGAUCAAUGGUGAUUGCCUUAUUUGUGAAGAACAAGUUGGGGUUCAUCAAUGGAACUAUUCCAAUACCUGAAAGCAAUCAGGAGUUGCUCAAUGUGUGGAUCCGUAAAAAUAAUAUUGUUACUUCAUGGAUCCUCAAUUCGGUGUCCAAGGAAAUUUCAGCUAGUGUGCUGUACUCUGAGUUUGUGUCUGAAAUAUGGACCAAUCUGAAGAAGCGAUAUCAGCAAAGCAAUGGACCACGCAUCUUUCAGUUAAAACGAGAAUUGAUGAAUCAUGUGCAAGGUGAUUCUUCUGUAAGCACUUACUUCACUAAGUUGAAGACAAUUUAAGAAGAACUUAGUAGUUAUAAACCUGUUUGUUUGUGUGGAAAAUGCAUUUGUGGAGGAGGUAAGAAAAUACUUGAAUAUCAUCAAACAGAAUAUGUUAUGUCCUUUCUAAUGGGACUUCAUGAGUCAUAUGCUCAAAUCAGGGGACAAGUUCUGUUAAUGGAUCCUAUUCCUUCCAUUAACCAGGUUUUUGCAUUGGUUUCUCAAGAAGAAAAUCAAAGAAAAAUCAGUAUAAUGAAUGAUCCAUCCGGAACUACUGAAUCUAUGGCAUUUUAUGCUCAAGAGGACACAAAAAGAAUAACUCAUACUGAUGCCAGGAAAACCUUGACACAUCAAUAUGGUAGACCUCAAAAGAAAGAAAGACCACUUUGCUCUUAUUGUGGAUACAGUAGACAUGAUGUGAAUAAGUGUUAUAAACUCUGCGGCUAUCCACCGGGGUAUAAACCAAAGCAGAAAGCUGGGAUAAACAUCCAAAAUAAUUCAGGCAAUCAGGCAAAUUGUGAAAUAGUUAAUCAGAUUUUUGAACCUGUUGAUGUCAUAAAUCAAGCACCAACUAGUGAUGGGGAUAUUGGGAGAUUUGUCCAGACACUUAACCCAGUUCAAUACCAACAAUUGAUGAAUGUGCUGAACACUCAUCUCCGGGCAGCAAAGUUAAAUUCUGAGAUAAGUGUCAAUUUUGGUGCCAAUUCUGGUAAGGCUUCAGGUACAUGUUUCUCAAUAUCUAUUCAUCCAACUUUUAAUUCACCUAGACAUUGGGUAGUAGACUCAGGUGCCAUGAUCCACAUAUGUCCUGAUUAGUCAGCAUUCCAAACAUUGAGGUCCAUUGAAAAUGCAUAUGUUACACUGCCAAAUCGCACACAGAUUCCUGUACAGUCAAUUGGAAGUGUGAAUAUUUUCCCUGAAUCGACACUUCAUGAUGUUCUAUAUGUACCACGGUUCAAGUUUAACUUACUGUCAGUCAGUUCUUUGACAAGGAAUUUAGCUUUAUGUGUCACAUUCCUCACUAAUUCUUGCUUGGUUCAGGAUCUGAUCACUUCGAAGAUGAUUGGCAAGGGUAAAAAGAAGGCAGACCUUUAUGUCAUUGACUCCAGCUCAUCAUUUUCAACUAGUUCCUUAUCUAAGUCAGUCUCAGUUCAUAAUAGUACUUGUUCAAUUUCGAAUAAUGUAACGAGUCAAAUUUGGCACAAUAGGCUGGGUCAUAUGUCUUUCCAAUAAUUGAGAUUACUGAAGAGUCAACAGCAAAUUGAUUGUAUUGAUUACAAGAAUGAUGAAUCCGUUCUUUGUCUUGUCUGUCCAUUGGCAAAGCAAAGAAGGCUAUCAUUUGUGUCGAAUAAUCAUUUGUCUAGUAAUGCUUUUGAUUUAAUCCAUUGAGAAGUAUGGGGACUGUAUCAUACCCCUACAUAUGCAGGC